rnacentral:rRNA from 1 species
AUUGAACGCUGGCGGCAGGCCUAACACAUGCAAGUCGAGCGGAUGAAGGGAGCUUGCUCCUGGAUUCAGCGGCGGACGGGUGAGUAAUGCCUAGGAAUCUGCCUAGCAGCGGGGGAUAACGUCCGAAAACGGGCGCUAAUACCGCAUACGUCCUGACGGAGAAAGUGGGGGAUCUUCGGACCUCCCGCUCUUACAUGAUCCUAGGUCGGAUUAGCUAGUUGGUGGGGUAAAGGCCUACCAAGGCGACGAUCCGUAACUGGUCUGAGAGGAUGAUCAGUCACACUGGAACUGAGACACGGUCCAGACUCCUACGGGAGGCAGCAGUGGGGAAUAUUGGACAAUGGGCGCAAGCCUGAUCCAGCCAUGCCGCGUGUGUGAAGAAGGUCUUCGGAUUGUAAAGCACUUUAAGUUGGGAGGAAGGGCAGUAAGUUAAUACCUCGCUGUUUUGACGUUACCAACAGAAUAAGCACCGGCUAACUUCGUG